AUACGUAGGGGGCGAGCGUUGUCCGGAAUGAUUGGGCGUAAAGGGCGCGUAGGCGGCCCGGUAAGUCUGGAGUGAAAGUCCUGCUUUUAAGGUGGGAAUUGCUUUGGAUACUGUCGGGCUUGAGUGCAGGAGAGGUAAGUGGAAUUCCCAGUGUAGCGGUGAAAUGCGUAGAGAUUGGGAGGAACACCAGUGGCGAAGGCGACUUACUGGACUGUAACUGACGCUGAGGCGCGAAAGUUUGGGGAGCAAACAGGAUUAGAUACCCUGGUAGUCCACACUGUAAACGAUGAAUGCUAGGUGUAGGGGGUAUCGACCCCUUCUGUGCCGCAGUAAACACAAUAAGCAUUCCGCCUGGGGAGUACGGCCGCAAGGUUGAAACUCAAAUGAAUUGACGGGG
rnacentral:rRNA from 1 species